UAGACCUCACUUAAGGACUGACUGCCACUGGGUACAGAUCUCUGGUUGGAAAUCCCUCCCUUGUGUGUGGAGUUUUCCUUGCGAGCCUAAAAAGAGAUAGUAAUGAAGGUGUUAACCUAAAUUACAUUUGAAGAGUGGUAGAAAAUUGACCCAGCUGUAGGAGAUGAGGAAUCAGGAACAGAGCUGUGUUGAAACAGGGCUGUCUAAACUCUCCACCGAUAUACAGCAGUACAACUGGAGAAGCUCUGGAGAGCUGAGAGCCAUUUCUUCAUUAGUAGAUCUGAUGUGGUUACAGACCAUGGCUGUGUCAUUUUCUCAAGGCUUGUCUCAGAACAAGAAACUUUUCAUGUAAAUACUCCAUUGAAUAAGUCCAUUGAAAGGACUCUGCUCAAUAUCUUGCGGGAACAGAGCUUUAACACAACAUUUGGAGUAAAUAUGUCAGUAUAACAAUAUGUAAAAUUGGUGUAUGGAGAGCAUGGGUAUUUUCUGACCAAAGAUGCCUAACAGUUUUAAAAUACAUUUUUAUAGUCUAACUUAUUGUCUGGGUAGAUUGCUAUUCAGCUCUUUGCUACUGUAGUUGCUCGUUAACUAAUACGACCAAACUGAAGUGUUUUGUGGAAAAUAAGUCCCUGGUGUAAAUACUCAGCUUAUUGAUCUCCUCCCAUACUCAGAAAAUAACCUUUAACUUUUUUACACCAAUUAAAGACAGAAUUGUUGUCUAAUUCAAACAAUUUGACAUAAACAGAUUUUUUUUUUAACAAGUAUCAAAUAAAUCAAUUAUUUAAAGGAAAUUUCCUUUCUUCUGCAAUGAAUAUUUAGCCUGCUGUAAAAUCAAAGCUAAUCUUUACUCUGUUUUCCUGUCUUAUCACACAACAGAUAAAUGUUUCCUGCAGAUACUGUGCUAUACCAGAGCAUCUGCCUCUGUAUGAACACGCUGCCAAAGAGCCUUAGUGAGCAGUCAAUUUGUGCAUAUGACAGGUUUAUUACUUUAUCAGUUAUUUGCUCAAGGACUAUUUUGUUAUAUGCAAAUUAUUGACAUAAAUUGGAGCAGAAUUGAUUUAUUAAGGAGUUUAAAUGCAUCUUACACCAUUUGGUAUGUGCAUUUUUAUUAUGCAAUGUGUUUACUUCUAGAAUAUUGGCUUGUCUGAGAGCUGUUCUUGUAACUAUAGUAUUUGUUAGUGUAAGGAUAAUGCUGAUUUGUGUGCUUUUAAGUUGGACAGCUUUCUAGUUGGUCUGAACACAGAGCAUAUGAGGUGAAUAGAGAAUUCUGACUUGAGAUUCAGGAGUUAAAAACUCUUGUGUUUUUUUUUUUUACCAUACUUGAUGUUUGGUAAUUCAAGAAGAGAAAGUUCAGAUCCUUAUGUAUGGACAAAAAGGACUUCUG